ACCUUAAAAGUGAAGCAACGGAACUAUUAUUGGGCCAUAGAUCAAGCCCAUAUAAUAAGAAUCCACUAGAUAGCACCUUCGUCUCUAAUCCCCGUUUUUUAAUUCCGAGUCAUCAACUCACUAAACUCGUUCUUGACUCGACUCACCGCGACGCCAGAAGCUCGGAGGAACAGAAACGGAAACAAUGUCGUCGAGAGACACCAACGGAGGCGCUCUGCCGACGAAGAAGCUGGAAAUCUUAGAGAGAGGCGAAGAAGACGAUUCUCCACCAACGUCGAAGAGAGAUUCCCGGAAAGCGCGGGAAGAUUCGGAAUCAGACUCGGAAACGGAGAGAAAGCACAAGAGCAGUUUGAGGAGGAAAUCGCGACGAGAUAGUUCGGAUUCAGAGGAUGAGAAAUCGCGUAGGAGGAAGAGGAAGUCGCGGAGGAGGUACAGCAGCGACGAGAGCUCCGAUUCCGGUUCGGAUUCAGCUUCGGAUUCGGAGGAGGGAGAGUCGGAGAGUUCAGGUUCGGAGUAUUCGGAUUCGGAGUCGGAGAGCGAAGGAGAGAGGAGGGAGAGGAAGAGGAGAGAGAAGAGAAGGAGGAGAGAGAAGGAGGAAGAGCGAGAGAGGAGGAAGAGGAAGAGGGAGAAAGAGAAGAAGAGAAGGAAGAAGGAGAAGGAGGAGGAGAGAAGGAAGAAGGAGAAGCGGAAGAUGAAGAAGAAAGAGAAGAAGGAGAGAGGGAAGAAAGGUGCAGUCACAAAUUUGUGGGGAAAAUAUGGUGUCAUAAGAGAAACUGAUAUGUGGACCAAACGACCAGAGUUCACUGCAUGGUUGGCAGAAGUAAAGCAGGUGAAUCUUGAGAAUCUGGCGAAUUGGGAAGAAAAGCAGAUGUUCAAACAAUUCAUGGAGGAUCACAACACAGCUACCUUCCCUUCCAAAAAGUACUACAACCUCGAUGCUUAUUACAGACGUCAAAUGGAAAAGGAUAUGAAGAAAGGUAUUAAGAAGGUCCGGGCAUCAGAACGUACUGUUUUUAACGAUGAAGAACAGCGCAGGCAAGAAUUGUUGCAAGCACGUGAAAAGCAUAAGGAAGAGCAAGUGAUUGCUUUGAAGCACUCUAUGCAAAGUGGAAGGCACAGGCAAUGAAAGAGCAAGCUCAACUGAGGGAGGAAAUGGCAUACCAAUACAAGCUUGGUAACUUUGAGGCUGCUGCUGCUAUCCAGAGAAGGUUGGAUCCUGAUGCUGCUUUGUAGUUGGAUAUAGCUUCCAUGAAUAAAUAUCGAGAAAAGAGCUUUCUGAUCAAAGAAUUUGGUGACAGUUUCAUGGUGAUCAUGCCUUCAUGACAAACAUCAAUGUAGAUUAUGAAUUGUUAUGGUUAUCAGGUAUGAGAUAUGCCUGAGAGGUGGGGAUGGAUUUUAUUUGUUCCAAAAGUUUAGUUAAAGGCUCACUGUUUGUGACUCAUUUUUGCUUACUGCUAUUUCGAAUUUUAGAUACUAGAGUUUUGUAGAGGUUCUGCUUUUUAGCAUGAAGUUAAGGUGGAAAAAUCAUGUUGUCUUGAACCAUAGAUCUAAAUAUAAUUUGGUUGAGCGUAUGAGAAAUGAGAUAUUUUUCUAUAUCCUAAACCCUAAAGUUGAACGACCAUAUAUCAAACUGAACUUUUGGCA